CACGUAGGCGGCUCGCUCAGUCGGGUGUGAAAGCCCACGGCCCAACCGUGGAACUGCACCCGAUACUGGCGAGCUCGAGGACGGAAGGGGUGAGUGGAACUCCAGGUGGAACGGUGAAAUGUAUAGAUAUCUGGAGGAACACCGGUGGCGAAAGCGGCUCACUGGUCCGUCUCUGACGCUGAGGUGCGAAAGCUAGGGUAGCGAACG
rnacentral:rRNA from 1 species